rnacentral:rRNA from 1 species
UACACACCUCAGAGCCAACUUCAAUAAAGAAUUUUAUUCUAAAUUUACUACUAAAUCCACCUUAAUAAUAUUUUACAUAUCCUAAUCCGUAUAAUUUUAAUUUAUUGUAACCCACUUCUCCCAUACUUAUAAGCUGCACCUUGACCUGAAGUCAUAAAUUUUAAAUUAAUUAGAUUAUAUUUUCUAAAAAUAAUCUGACAACGGCGGUAUACAAACUGAAUACAAAAGUAUGUGCAUUUAAACGUGGAAUAUCGAUCCAAGAGCAGGUUCCUCUAGUAAGAAUGAAGUACCGCCAAAUUCUUUAGGUUUCAAUAAAUCUACUACCCUGGCAAUAAAUUUAAUAAAGA